AGAGUUAAACAGUACGUGAAAUUGUUGAAAGGGAAACGAUUAAAGUCAGUCGUACAGACGAGGAAUCAGCCUUUUGUGUGUAAAAUCGUGGGAUGCAAGAGUCUUUGCGCUUGCGAUAUUUGUGCAUUUUUGGUGUACUUUCUCGUAUUGUAGGUUAGCAUCGGUUUUGAUAGUCAUAAAAUGACUGGGGGAAUGUAGCUUCGAUCUCGGUUGAAGUGUUAUAGCCUUUGGUAGAUGUGAUGGUUGGGACCGAGGAUUGCAACGAAUACCCUUACGGGCUAUCCGGCUGGCCUCUGACUUUCACUUUGAUUUCGAAAGCUUGCUUUCGAUUUUAAAGUUGGGGGUUAAAAGGUUAGAACGGAUUAAAUUCGUUAAGGAUGCUGACGUAAUGGCUUUAAACGA
rnacentral:misc_RNA from 1 species